rnacentral:rRNA from 1 species
UACGAGUUUGAUCAUGGCUCAGGAUGAACGCUAGCGGCAGGCUUAAUACAUGCAAGUCAAGGGGGUAGCAAUACUACCGGCGCACGGGUGAGUAACACGUACAUAACAUACCAUAUACUGGGGUAUAGCUUUGGGAAACUGAAGGUAAUCCCCCAUAACAUUGCGAGAGGGCAUCUGAUUGCAAUUAAAGUUUCGACGGUAUAUGAUUGAUGUGCGUUUGAUUAGCUUGUUGGUAGGGUAACGGCCUACCAAGGCGACGAUCAAUAGCUGGCGUGAGAGCGCGACCAGCCACACUGGAACUGAGACACGGUCCAGACUCCUACGGGAGGCAGCAGUAGGGAAUAUUGGACAAUGGGCGAAAGCCUGAUCCAGCCAUGCCGCGUGAUAGAUGAAGGCCCUCUGGGUUGUAAAUAUCUUUUAUCUGGGAAGAAACAAUCUUAUUCUUAAGAUCUUGACGGUACCAGAGGAAUAAGCACCGGCUAACUCCGUG